AAGUCGUAACAAGGUUUCCGUAGGUGAACCUGCGGAAGGAUCAUUAGUGAAACUUCACGGGCGCGUCCGUGCGCCUCGCUCCGCCGGCAACGGCGUCGAGCGAGCGCCGGGCCGCCCUCCACCCCACACCCCUGUGAACCUUGCGGAGCUUGCAGUACCCCUUCCCGGGUGGAUGACGCACGGUCGUCGGGGGAGGCUCGCUUCCGCCACACACACUCAGUCAACGAACGUCACGGUCCUCAGCGGCCUUUGAUAAACAAUACAACUUUCAACAACGGAUCUCUUGGCUCUCGCAUCGAUGAAGAACGCAGCGAAAUGCGAUAAGUAAUGUGAAUUGCAGAAUUCAGUGAAUCAUCGAAUCUUUGAACGCACCUUGCGCCCUUUGGUAUUCCGAUGGGCAUGCCCGUUCGAGUGUCUUGAAAUCAUCACCCCUCGGAUUCGCGUCCUUGGGUGUGGACUUGGGGGCUUGCUGCCGCAGGGCGGCUCCCCUUAAAGGAAUCGGUUGGGCCCCGCAGCGGCUCUGUCCCGGCGUUGUAAUGCAACCGCCUCAAAGGACGAGCCCCGCCUCAGUGCCCUCCCCCGACCUGCCUUUGGAGUGGCGGUCUAUCUUUUGAAAUCUGACCUCGAAUCGGGUAGGACUACCCGCUGAACUUAAGCAUAUCAAUAAGCGGAGGAAAAGAAACUACAAGGAUUCCCCUAGUAACUGCGAGUGAAGCGGGAUGAGCUCAAAUUUGAAAUCUGGCGGUUCCACCGUCCGAGUUGUAAUCUGGAGAAGCGUCUUCCGUGCCGGACCGUGUACAAGUCCCUUGGAAUAGGGCGUCAUAGAGGGUGAGAAUCCCGUCUUUGACACGGACCCCGGUGCUCUGUGAUGCGCUCUCGAAGAGUCGAGUUGUUUGGGAAUGCAGCUCAAAAUGGGUGGUAAAUUCCAUCUAAAGCUAAAUAUUGGCGAGAGACCGAUAGCGAACAAGUACCGUGAGGGAAAGAUGAAAAGCACUUUGGAAAGAGAGUAAAACAGUACGUGAAAUUGUUGAAAGGGAAACGCUUGAAGUCAGUCGCGCCUUCUGGAACUCAGCCUUGCUUCUGCUUGGUGCACUUUCCAGUUUGGCGGGCCAGCAUCUGUUUUGGCGGGUAGACAAAGGUCUGGGGAAUGUGGCAGCUCCGGCUGUGUUAUAGCCCCUCUCCGUACGUGCCCGCCGGGACAGAGGAAUCCGGCGCUUGCGCAUGGGAUGCUGGCGUAAUGGCCUUAAGCGACC
rnacentral:rRNA from 1 species